rnacentral:sRNA from 1 species
AACUACUUAGUAAGCUGAUGGAUUUAGA